UAAAGAUUUUCCAUAAUUUCAAGAUUUUCAAGAAAAAACAAAUUCAAGAUUUUCAAGAUUUUCUUGCAUGACGAAAUCAAAACCGGUUUUACCAUGAGACCGUAAGCGAAGAUUUGGAUUCCGGUGUUGCCGAGAGAAGCGGCGGCGAGUUCGAGGUUACCGAGGUGGCCGGAGAAGAUUUGAGUGGACAUGGACAUGAGGUAGUUUAUCAUGUAGACGACGACGGCGGGAGCAGCGAGUUUGAAGAGAAGCUUCGAUUCAAUCAUUGUGGCUUUGCGUAGGCGAAGAAACAGAGGAGUUUCCACGUCGGAGAGCACUCUCUCUAGCUCGCCGUUGCUUGAUUCCGUCGACGGAGAAAGCUGAGGUGGCGGUGCGGUUUCAUCGGCGUGAGGCUGGAGAAGCGGUUGUUGGUAUAAGCCGGUGGUUUGAGACGAGUCCAUGAAUAAGCCGGAGAUUCUCUCUCUCUCUCUCUCUCUCUCUCUCUCUCUCUCUCUCUGUUUAUUCUUCUUUUUUGGAGUUUGUUAUCACUUUUGAGGAUGUGUGUUGUGAGGUCUUUUGGAUGCUGGCGAGUGGCGGCUAGAGACAAUUACAAAAUUUUCUUUUUUCUGAAGAUAAUUACAAAUAUUUAAUUACUGCUUUUUUGGGUCAAACAAAGCGUGGUCCUAUCGAGUACUAACAUACUAUUUUUUUUAGUGCAAAAACCUAAUAUGGUGCAUGUCAUUAGUUUUCUAUUAAACAUUGAGUGUUCAAUGGAUUUGGGCGGAAAAAAGCAACAACAAAAAAUUCGAAACCAAAUUUGAAUAUAAUCUCAACGAUUUGUUAUAUGAAUAUGUGCAAAACCAAAUUUGAAUUUAAACCAAAUGCAUGGAAGAAGAGCAAUUAUUUUAUUUUAGAAUUAAAAAUAUAAUAUAUUAGAAAUCAUAGUUGAAACUAUACUAAACCAAACAUAUGAAGUUAGGUUUGGUAGUAUCAUUCAUAAACCUGAAAUUCCUAAAGUUCAAGACCUGAACUGAAACCGAAUUAAAAUGAUAGUACAACUUCAAAGAUGAUAUGUCAUUCGACUUAAUUAUAGCGCGGAACCAACAUCUAAUAUAACAAAAACAACUAAGAUCCAUCUCUCUAAGACAUUAUGAUUUUGGAGAGACUGAGAGACAUACGCAUUAUGCAAAUCAAAAAUAGUAAAGCAAAAAAAAAGUAAAGCGACAACCAUUUUAAUCUGGUAUACAAAUCACAUCACCUACCUGGUAUUUUUUUGUUUAAGCCAGCACAUAAUUUAAUGAAAACUAAAAUCGAAUUGUAGAGGAUCCAUGUCGACCUAUACAUUACCAGGUCUCCAAUAAUCUUGAGCAUUUGCAUAGGUUGAUACUAAGCCGAUGUAUCCAAUUGGUUCAUUGGAUACCAAAAACACAAAAAACUUUCAUCACUCGAGAUUCACUUCUAGUUUCUUGUUGCUCCAUAUGUCCAAUCUUUUGGAAGCUUCUUCCACCUGAAACAAACAUAAUAUCCGAAUUUUCUUGAAGUCAAUCAAAUCAAUGAAAUAUAGAUAUAGACUCGUAAGCAAACGCAAACGCAAACGCGGUGGCUGAAAAAUGUCUUAAGAAUACUUGCCUCUUUUACCCAGUCUGUUCUAAACGUGACCCACGCCAAAAUAACUGUUUGUAUAAGCGUACCACCUAUCAUCCCCGUCCAUAUACCCUGUAAAUUCAACAAAUUUAAAUGCUAUCGUUAGCCUUUGAUUAGACUCAUAAUAAAUGCAAGGAUCAUUUAUUAAUAAACAAAGUAAAAAAAAAAAACAGGGAAAAAUAUCUCGCCUUGGCACCAAAAUUGAAGUAAAAACCAAGGAGAGCCCCAAGAGGAAUUCCGAUAAAGUAGUAACAUCCAACGUUAACUUUUGCCACAAACGUUUGCCAACCGCAUCCAACCGCGACACCUGAAAACAUAGCAAGAAAUAGAAUAUAAAAAUUGAAAACAUUUGUUUUUUUGGAUUUUGGAAAUUGCGGUGUAUGAAACAGAAUGAUCUACCGGAGAGAACUGGUUGGAUCCCAUUGAGGACAAGUGUUAAAGCAAGAAGAGGGCAGAGAUCAGAAACUGCGGCCGAGACUUUUUCACCAUCAGUGAAUGCAUAGCUCAAAAUGUUACGGCAUGCCAAAAUAACGAUAGCUAAGAUCACACUUGUGAUUAAGGAAUAAAUGUUGACGAUGAUUACAGAAAACGCUGCAGAUUUAGGGUUCCCAGCUCCAAGUUCAUUACUCACUCUCACACUGGAUCAACAUCAAUAACACCAACUUUUUACAGUCACUCAAAUUUAAUUGGAAAAAUUAAGGUCAGAGUUCAAAGUGAAUUAGCAUAUUUCAGUGUAUAAAAAUGUAAGAAUUCAUUUAUAUCUGGUGGGUCAUAUACUGGAAAGGACAUUUUAUAUAAAUGAUUUGAAAUAAAGGAAAAGAAGUUGGGAGUUUUGGCCAAACAGACCUUAUUGCUGCAUUGAAUCCAACAGAUAUCAUGAACACCCAACCUGCAAUUGUCAUGCUGAACCACAGGAAAAAAAAAAACUAAUUAUAUAUAAUUAUAUAUCGUAAGAAAACGACCUAAUAUAGUACAGUAUCUAUCAACAUUUAUUGCUUGUGUUAUACGAUAUUAUAAUAUUUAGGCGCUUCAUGAUUAACUGUAAUAGAUUAAUUCUCUAGAUGUUUUCUUAGUGAUAGAAAUAUUGAUUUUCUAAGCUUUUAAUAUUAAUUUGUAUGCAUUGUUAUUAAUUAAUCGUAACCUUUUAAUAUAUUAAAAAUGAAAAUAUUUGGAUGAUCGAAUUAGUAUUGGCUUCCCCUCAUAGAGAGAGAAAACUAUAUAUUCAUUGCUAAAUACUAAUUGUUUUUUUAAUUUGUGUGAAGACUAUAGAAAAUUACUAUUGUUUUAGGAAAGUUUAAAGGAAGAGAAUGCUAUCCCGACUUGGUGGAAGUACCGAAAUUGGGUGGCUCAAUCUGUUUGGUGAGACAACAAGUCAAAUUUGUGUUACGAGGAAAUUAUAUUUUCUUUAUCUAUAUAUAAUUUUCUAUGUAUAACUUCCCAAUAUCUCUAUCUAUUACUUCCAGCUUAUGACUACAUUAGGUAAAUUAACAUAUUCAAGUCAAAUAUCAUUUUCUUAUAGAAAUAUUUUUACCAAAUGCAGUGUUGACAACAAAAACAAACAAAAAAAGACUUACCAAAUGGAGAGAGAGUCGAGCGCAAGUUCCGGAUUCUCAAGAAGUCCGGCGAGAAGAACCAAGAUCUGAAAAUACCAAGUCUCAAGACAGAGCAUCACGGCAGAGGCGGCGGAGAGUUUGAAAAAACUCGGCAAACCCGAGAACGCCUGAACACUAAACCCUCUCCACGUCUCACGACACCUCUCGCUCAUCACGAUGUAAACAAACUGAGCCACCACAAUGAUCCACCACGAGAGACUGAGCACGAGAGACGCACCAAGAAGCCCCAUGCCUAGCUUGUAAACAGCGAGCCAGCUCAAGAGAAGGUGAACGAAAAGCGUUGCGGUCGCAAUGUAAGCACUCGGUGCAACGAUGCUCUGCGACUGUAGAAAUUUCUGUAUCGGGAAGUUCACUGCGUAGGCAAAGAUCUGAGGGAUUAAACCGUAGACGAAGAGAGACGCAGCGGAAGCUAUCUCCGGCGAUUCUCCGAGGAAAAGCAAGAUCGGUUCGGAGAAGACGUAGAUUAUGGUGAGUAGAACGCCGGUGAGAGUAAGCAACACGGUGGAUCUCUGGAGGUAAACGCCGAGCAUCUCGUAUUUUCUUCCUCCAAACGCUUGUCCACACAGCGUCUCCACCGCACUACCCAUUCCUAGCUAUAAAGAUUUUCGAAUUUCAAGAACAUAUAUGCAAGAAACAAGAAUCAAUAUAGAUUAUAGAUCGUUUUCAAGAUUAGAGACAUAUACCAUGAGACCGUAGGCGAAGACUUGGAUUCCGGUGUUUCCGAGAGAAGCUGCGGCGAGUUCGAGGUUUCCGAGGUGGCCGGAGAAGAUUUGAGUGGACAUGGACAUGAAGUAGUUUAUCAUGUAGACGAUGACGGCGGGAGCAGCGAGCUUGAAGAGAAGCUUCGAUUCAAUCAUCG
rnacentral:lncRNA from 1 species